rnacentral:rRNA from 1 species
AUGGGAUAGCCACUAGAAAUGGUGGGUAAUACUGUAUAAUCCCUGCGGGGGAAAGAUUUAUCGCUAUUAGAUGAGCCUAUGUUAGAUUAGCUAGUUGGUAGGGUAAAGGCCUACCAAGGCAGUGAUCUAUAGCUGGUCUGAGAGGAUGAUCAGCCACACUGGAACUGAGAUACGGUCCAGACUCCUACGGGAGGCAGCAGUGGGGAAUAUUGGACAAUGGGCGCAAGCCUGAUCCAGCUAUGCCGCGUGAGUGAGGAAGGCCUUAGGGUUGUAAAACUCUUUCAGUGGGGAAGAUAAUGACGGUACCCACAGAAGAAGUCCCGGCAAACUCCGUGCCAGCAGCCGCGGUAAUACGGAGGGGGCAAGCGUUGUUCGGAAUUAUUGGGCGUAAAGGGCAUGUAGGCGGUUCGGUAAGUUAAAGGUGAAAUGCCAGGGCUUAACCCUGGAGCUGCUUUUAAUACUGCCAGACUAGAGUCCGGGAGAGGAUAGCGGAAUUCCUAGUGUAGAGGUGAAAUUCGUAGAUAUUAGGAGGAACACCAGUGGCGAAGGCGGCUGUCUGGUCCGGUACUGACGCUGAUGUGCGAAAGCGUGGGGAGCAAACAGGAUUAGAUACCCUGGUAGUCCACGCUGUAAACGA